rnacentral:rRNA from 1 species
AUUGAACGCUGGCGGCAUGCCUUACACAUGCAAGUCGAACGGUAACGCGGGGCAACCUGGCGACGAGUGGCGAACGGGUGAGUAACGCAUCGGAACGUGCCCAAUAGUGGGGGAUAGCCCGGCGAAAGCCGGAUUAAUACCGCAUACGACCUACGGGUGAAAGCAGGGGAUCGCAAGACCUUGCGCUAAUGGAGCGGCCGAUGUCAGAUUAGGUUGUUGGUGGGGUAAAAGCCCACCAAGCCGACGAUCUGUAGCAGGUCUGAGAGGACGACCAGCCACACUGGGACUGAGACACGGCCCAGACUCCUACGGGAGGCAGCAGUGGGGAAUUUUGGACAAUGGGCGCAAGCCUGAUCCAGCCAUGCCGCGUGCGGGAUGAAGGCCUUCGGGUUGUAAACCGCUUUUGUUAGGGAAGAAAUCUUUUGAGCUAAUACCUCGGAAGGAUGACGGUACCUAAAGAAUAAGCACCGGCUAACUACGUGCCAGCCGCCGCAGUAA